GAGGGUGAGAAUCCCGUAUGCGGUUGGCGCCCGCGCCCAUGUAAAGCUCUUUCGACGAGUCGAGUUGUUUGGGAAUGCAGCUCUAAAUGGGUGGUAAAUUUCUUCUAAAGCUAAAUAUUGGCCAGAGACCGAUAGCGCACAAGUAGAGUGAUCGAAAGAUGAAAAGCACUUUGGAAAGAGAGUUAAACAGUACGUGAAAUUGUUGAAAGGGAAGCGCUGGCAACCAGACUUGGGCGCUGUUGAUCCGUCGGGGUUCUCCCUGAGGCACUCUACAGCGCGCAGGCCAGCAUCGGUUUGGGGGGUUGGAGAAAGACUUGUGGAAUGUAGCUGCCUUCGGGCAGUGUUAUAGCCACCGGUGGCAUGCAGCCUCCCCGGACCGAGGUCCGCGCUUCUGCUAGGAUGCUGGCGUAAUGGUUGUCAGCGACCCGUCUUGAAACACGGACCAAGGAGUCUAACAUCUAUGCGAGUGUUUGGGUGUCAAACCCAUACGCGGAAUGAAAGUGAACGCAGGUGAGAACCCGUAAGGGUGCAUCAUCGACCGAUCCUGAUGUCUUCGGAUGGAUUUGAGUAAGAGCAUAGCUGUUGGGACCCGAAAGAUGGUGAACUAUGCCUGAAUAGGGUGAAGCCAGAGGAAACUCUGGUGGAGGCUCGCAGCGGUUCUGACGUGCAAAUCGAUCGUCAAAUUUGGGUAUAGGGGCGAAAGAC
rnacentral:rRNA from 1 species